rnacentral:rRNA from 1 species
UUGAAAGGGAAACGAUUGAAGUCAGUCGUACUUAUGGGUAAUCAGCCUUUUGGGUGUGAUUUUAUGGAGCGUGAGGAGUUAAACGCCUUCAUGCCUUCAUAUUCGUGCACUUUGGGUGUACUUGCUCGUGUGUAAGUUAACAUCAAUUUUGGUGGUCAUAAAAUGGCUGGAGGAAUGUAGCUUCGAUCUUGUAUUGAAGUGUUAUAGCCUUCGGUAGAUGUGACGAUCGGGAUUGAGGAUUGCAACGGAUACCCUUCGGGGCUACCUGUCUGAUCUCUGAUUGUUGCUCUGGUGCCGAAAGCAUGCUUACGGUUAUCAAAGUCGAUGGUCAAUAGGUUAGAAUGGGUUAAAUUCGUUAAG